GACGAACGCUGGCGGCGUGCUUAACACAUGCAAGUCGAACGGAAAGGCCCUGCUUGCAGGGUGCUCGAGUGGCGAACGGGUGAGUAACACGUGGGUGAUCUGCCCCUUACUUUGGGAUAAGCCUGGGAAACUGGGUCUAAUACUGGAUAGGACCAUGCUGUAGGUGGUGUGGUGGAAAGAUUAGUUUCGGUAAGGGAUGAGCUCGCGGCCUAUCAGCUUGUUGGUGGGGUAAUGGCCUACCAAGGCGUCGACGGGUAGCCGGCCUGAGAGGGUGGACGGCCACAUUGGGACUGAGAUACGGCCCAGACUCCGACGGGAGGCAGCAGUGGGGAAUAGUGCACAAUGGGCGCAAGCCUGAUGCAGCGACGCCGCGUGGGGGAUGACGGCCUUCGGGUUGUAAACUCCUUUCAGCCAUGACGAAGCCCUUGUGGUGACGGUAGUGGUAGAAGAAGCACCGGCUAACUACGUG
rnacentral:rRNA from 1 species